rnacentral:rRNA from 1 species
AUUGAACGCUGGCGGCAGGCUUAACACAUGCAAGUCGAGCGAGCGGCGGACGGGUGAGUAAUGUCUGGGAAACUGCCUGAUGGAGGGGGAUAACUAUUGGAAACGAUAGCUAAUACCGCAUACUGUGAGAUGGACCUGCGUUGUAUUAGCUAGUUGGUGAGGUAAAGGCUCACCAAGGCGACGAUACAUAGCCGACCUGAGAGGGUGAUCGGCCACACUGGGACUGAGACACGGCCCAGACUCCUACGGGAGGCAGCAGUGGGGAAUAUUGCACAAUGGGCGCAAGCCUGAUGCAGCCAUGCCGCGUGUGUGAAGAAGGCCUUCGGGUUGUAAAGCACUUUCAGCGAGGAGGCGUUACUCGCAGAAGAAGCACCGGCUAACUCCGUGCCAGCAGCCGCGGUAAUAC